UACGUAGGGGGCAAGCGUUGUUCGGAAUUACUGGGCGUAAAGGGCGCGUAGGCGGCACUGUUAGUCAGGCGUGAAAUUCCUGGGCUCAACCUGGGGACUGCGCUUGAUACGGCAGAGCUAGAGGAUGGAAGAGGCUCGCGGAAUUCCCAGUGUAGAGGUGAAAUUCGUAGAUAUUGGGAAGAACACCGGUGGCGAAGGCGGCGAGCUGGUCCAUUACUGACGCUGAGGCGCGACAGCGUGGGGAGCAAACAGG
rnacentral:rRNA from 1 species